UACAGAGGGGGCAAGCGUUAUUCGGAAUUAUUGGGCGUAAAGGGCGCGUAGGCGGCCUGACAAGUGGAAGGUGAAAUCCCUCGGCUCAACUGAGGAACUGCCCUCCAAACUGUUUGGCUUGAGACCGGGAGAGGUGAGUGGAAUUCCCAGUGUAGCGGUGAAAUGCGUAGAUAUUGGGAGGAACACCAGUGGCGAAGGCG
rnacentral:rRNA from 1 species